rnacentral:lncRNA from 1 species
GGCUUCUUCCCCUUAUUCAACCUGAUAAAACCAGUGACUAUCUUUAACAUUUUUUUUUUCUUUACACUAUUCAGCUACAGUAUUCUUUUGUUUUUCAUCUCCACAGUUGAAUUCUGUACCUCUAUUGUGUCUCUUUGGAAACUAGAUUUCUACAACCAAAGUUGAAGCAGAAACUAAACUUGAUGGGGUUUCACAGAAGUGAAAAAUGGUAUAUAGACUUUUUUUUUUCUCAAUGAGAAUCCCAAAUUCUUACUUGCUAUUCUGUAAGCUUAAGAUUUUAUUUCCUUUAAAAUACAAAGGCUGAGUAAUAUUCCAUUGUGUAUAUGUACCACAGCUUUCUUAUCCAUUCAUCUGCUGAUGGACAUCUAUCUAGGUUGUUUCCAUGUCCUGGCUAUUAUAAACAGUGCUGCGAUGAACAUUGGGGUACAUGUGUCUCUUUCAAUUCUGGUUUCCUCGGUGUGUAUGCCCAGAAGUGGGAUUGCUGGGUCAUAAGGUAGUUCUAUUUGCAAUUUUUUAAGGAAUCUCCACACUGUUUUCCAUAGUGGUUGUACUAGUUUGCAUUCCCACCAACAGUGUAGGAGGGUUCCCUUUUCUCCACACCCUCUCCAGCCUUUAUUGCUUGCAGAUUUUUGGAUCGCAGCCAUUCUGACUGGUGUGAAGUGGUACCUCAUUGUGGUUUUGAUUUGCAUUUCUCUAAUAAUGAGUGAUGUUGAGCAUCCUCAGAAGCUGUCCAUCCUAUUAACAAUGUAUUCAAAUUGCAAGCAAGCAUUUAAUGAAUGUUGAGUUUCAGCAGCAGCAGCAUGAAGACUGGGAGAGCCUUAGGAGUUGCUGAAAUGAAAGGGCUUUUCUCUUAAUUUCAAAUAUCAGAAGACUUGAACAGAACAUGGUAUCUUAGCCAUCUGAGCUUUUUAAAUGUGACAUUG